AUCCUCUGUGGCUUCAUGCAUUACCGCAAAACUUAAGUCCCGAAUUAAAGACAGAAAAUAUGAGACAGAGCAUGAGAAGCCAACUUCAGGAGUAUGCAUUUUGUGAUAUCCUCAGCGUUUUCUUUUACAAUGCAUUCUGCUCAGGCCAGUGAAUUUUGUUUAACUGACCAGGUAAGCAAAUAUACAUAGUCACAGUUUUUUCAUUAAAAUGUUUUCCAGACACUAGGCGACUAAUUCUGAGAGACUGGUGUUCU
rnacentral:lncRNA from 1 species